rnacentral:rRNA from 1 species
UACGUAGGGGGCAAGCGUUGUCCGGAUUUAUUGGGCGUAAAGAGCGUGUAGGCGGCCAUACAGGUCCGUUGUGAAAACUGGAGGCUUAACCUCCAGACGUCGAUGGAAACCGUAUGGCUAGAGUCCGGAAGAGGAGAGUGGAAUUCCUGGUGUAGCGGUGAAAUGCGCAGAGUAUCAGGAAGAACACCCGUGGCGAAGGCGGCUCUCUGGGACGGUACUGACGCUGAGACGCGAAAGCGUGGGGAGCGAACAGGAAUAG